GGAAGUAAAAGUCGUAACAAGGUCUCCGUUGGUGAACCAGCGGAGGGAUCAUUACCGAGUUUACAACUCCCAAACCCCUGUGAACAUACCUAUUUGUUGCCUCGGCGGUGCCUGUUCCGACAGCCCGCCAGAGGACCCCAAACCCUGAUUACAUUUAAGAAGUCUUCUGAGUAAACCGAUUAAAUAAAUCAAAACUUUCAACAACGGAUCUCUUGGUUCUGGCAUCGAUGAAGAACGCAGCGAAAUGCGAUAAGUAAUGUGAAUUGCAGAAUUCAGUGAAUCAUCGAAUCUUUGAACGCACAUUGCGCCCGCUAGUAUUCUGGCGGGCAUGCCUGUCCGAGCGUCAUUUCAACCCUCAAGCCCCCGGGCUUGGUGUUGGGGAUCGGCGAGCCUCCGCGCCCGCCGUCCCCUAAAUCUAGUGGCGGUCUCGCUGUAGCUUCCUCUGCGUAGUAGCACACCUCGCACUGGGAAACAGCGCGGCCACGCCGUUAAACCCCCAACUUCUGAACGUUUGACCUCGGAUCAGGUAGGAAUACCCGCUGAACUUAAGCAUAUCAAUAAGCGGAGGA
rnacentral:rRNA from 1 species